CUACUGUAUGUUCUUGUUUUGUAACUUAAUGUCAUUUAUAUUUCAGAUGUGACAGUGAAGGCGCCUCCCAGAGUUGUAAGCUUAUCAGAGAGCAGACAGUGACGAGCAGCAACCCGCUGUGUGGAGGCAAAGACCUGGGUGGAGUGCGUGUAAAAAGGGGUGAAAUGUAAAUCCACGGCUCUAAAUCACGCGAGAUAAAAACAAGACUUCACCGAGACGUGUGUGAAUGAAAGUCCAACACCUGACCCUCUGGACACACACCCCGAACCAAGAACUUUCUUCACUGAGUGGAUCGACGUCUACUUGAGAAGAACAUAAAGUCACCCUCCCUCUGAGAGCACG